GGGAAUUAGGGUUUACCUGUCAAUAUGGCUGUUGGAGUCCUUCGAAGAACUUCUUCUUCUGCAUCACGAACAGACGACGACGGCUCACCUGAGCUUUGACGGUGCGCGGCGGAAGACGUCAACCUUCUAGGAUUCUCCGUCUCAAUAAUCUUUCAAAUGCGAAUUUACCGACGAACACACGAGCGUGAAUUUGAAAUGCGAUACCGACUGGAGUUCGUCCGACGCGAUUUCAACAUGACGAAGACAAAUAGAAAUUCGGAGGUUCUCGGUGAAUCCAGAGAAGGUGCGUUGUUAUUGUUGAAGAUGAUGAAACGUGGGUGAAUGAAGAUUGGAGAGAGGAUUGAAGAAGAUGAUGGUUGAAUGAAUCGUGGUUAAGGUUGAAGAAGAGGAUGAAGACGUUGAAAUUGCAGGGAUGAAUGAAGGUGUUGAUUGAAGAAGAGUAUGGAGAAGAUGAAGAAGAACUGAGAUUGAAGGUGAUGGUGGUUCUGAGUUUGUGAGCAAUGGUGAAGAAGCUUUGUGGAGAAUUGGAGAUAAUGAAGUGGAGACAGAGAGUUCUGAGAGUGGUGGAGCUACUGGUUUUUAUAGUUGAAGGCGAAGAGGAGAAUUCAGUUGAGAGAAGGUGCGUUGUUAUUGUUGAAGAUGAUGAAACGUGGGUGAAUGAAGAUUGGAGAGAGGAUUGAAGAAGAUGAUGGUUGAAUGAAUCGUGGUUAAGGUUGAAGAAGAGGAUGAAGACGUUGAAAUUGCAGGGAUGAAUGAAGGUGUUGAUUGAAGAAGAGUAUGGAGAAGAUGAAGAAGAACUGAGAUUGAAGGUGAUGGUGGUUCUGAGUUUGUGAGCAAUGGUGAAGAAGCUUUGUGGAGAAUUGGAGAUAAUGAAGUGGAGACAGAGAGUUCUGAGAGUGGUGGAGCUACUGGUUUUUAUAGUUGAAGGCGAAGAGGAGAAUUCAGUUGAGGUUAGUUACUCUUCUUCUUUUUCUGUUAACUGUCAGUUGCAAUUGGUUAAGAAGUGGUUUAGGUUUGUAACUGAACUAGUUACUUAUUGGUUAUUGGUUUGAAAAGUGGUUGAAGUUUGUUGUGGUUAGUUAAGGGGCGAGUUACUAAAUUCAGUUUUUCUGUUACGAAUCUGUUUUGGUGGUUAUGAGAAUUCUGUUUUGGUUUUGAAAGUUUUUUUUGUUAGGACAGUUUUGAGUAGUUGCUUCUGUUAGUAUGUAUGUAGAAUUGGAUUUUGGUAUACUCUGGACUGAACUUGAUUUUUUUCUAGAAUGCAGAACCUAAAAUUAACUUGGAAGGAAAUUAAAAAUGGGAUUUAAAUACUGUAGGUAUGUGUAUUAGCUGGGCUGCUGUUUGGUAUAUUUUGUACAUGGUGAGUAUGCUGCGGAUGUAUCUUGAAUUUGAAUGAACAGGCUAAGAUAAUGUGUGUGCAGUGAGUGAAUAUGUCUUGAACUGGUAGUGAUGCUGCUUGAAUUUUUAUGUGUAUACAGGUACAUGAUGCAGCAGGUUUAUUUGAGUUUUUAUUUUGAAUGUAAUUGCAGGGCUGAUGCGUGUAAGGCUAGCAGUGAAACGGUUUCCCCACGGAUCUGCACAAUUGAUGUGAUUACGGCGGGUUUGACGCAGGGACCGGUUUGUCUAUGCUGCCGGGAGUAUGGUUAUGAUGCAAGAAUGGUAUACUUGGGAACUAAGAAGCGACAUGAUCAUGAUACAUGGUGAAAUAAGGAAACUUAUUGAAGAUUGGUCUGGAAACUCAACUGUCUUGCAAGCUGACGGUGCAUUUACGGGAUGAACCAUGGAGGCAAGCACACCAUUGAUGGAAGCUUAGGAUUAAAAAUAAUAGGGUAGAGUAAUUUUUGUGUGGUUCUUUUGUAGUUGAAUCUUGGAAUUUUUCUUUGUAAUGGACUGUGAAACGGUAUUUGAACGAAUGUAAUAUGAAUUGUGUAAUAGGAAUAUGGAUUCUUGAACGAAUGUUUGGAAAAUGAUGGACAUUGUAUUUUUGAUAAAUUGUAGAGUUCUUGAAAGGAAAUUGUUUGAAUGGUUCAUGAAUGAAUGUUAAAGCUUGGGGUGUUUGUGAUGCUUUGUUUGGAUAGGUGUGACUUGUAUGGCCGUUUUUUGUUUUCGAUGUCUCAAAAAUCUUAGGCAUGUUAUGAAAUGUUUUCUUUUGAAUGUCUUGCAACACAAGUAACAACAUGGACCAAUUUUUUUUGUCUGGCGACUAUGCCCAAGUAUUGAGAAGGAGUUCAGGAUGAUUUUAGGACCAAACUCCAAUUGAUUAGUCAAUCUCAAGUUUAAGGAAAUAAACCCCAAUUCUUGAUCAUUGAGCCAUAACCUCAGUUCCUCUUAUCCAUGCUCAUAGAGAAUUCCGUUGGAAUUAAAGCUUGCAUGAUAUGGACAUUUCAAACCAAGUCAAACACUGUUUUAUUCCAUGAUCCUUGAUCCCAUGCCUUAGGAAUUUAUUUAAUGAAUGGAUGCAAAGUGUUAGAUGACCUAAUGGGGAAUGCAUGUGAAAUGAGAAGCUAAAGCCAGAUAGAAAUAAAGGGGUAGGACAAAUUUGGGGUAUGACAACUAGUAUGACCCAAACGAUUUACCAGACAAACUAGUGUAUUGGUUGAUUUGUUUGAACAUGUAAAAUGCACUUUUUUUACUAACACAUUUUGUAGAAGUGGAAAAAAUUGAAAUUGAAAUUAUUACAUC